rnacentral:rRNA from 1 species
UACGAAGGGUGCGAGCGUUGUUCGGAAUUACUGGGCGUAAAGGGUUUGUAGGCUGAAAUGUAAGUCAAGUGUGAAAUCCCCGAGCUAAACUUGGGACGUGCAUUUGAAACUGUGUUUCUUGAGUAUCGUAGAGGGUGGUGGAAUUGUAGGUGUAGGAGUGACAUCCGUAGAGAUCUGCGGGAACAUCAGAGGCGAAGGCGACCACCUGGCCGAUGACUGACGCUGAGGAACGAAAGCGUGGGGAGCAAACAGG